AUUUUUUAUUAAAUAAUUCUUAACCUUAGUUCCUUCUACAUCUGCUAUAAGGGUUACAUCUUCAGCACCUACUAUAACUAUUCCAUGUGUUCAACCUCCUGCUGUCGAAUCUACACAGCCUAUCACAGCUACAUUUACGUGUUCAACGAAUGUUCCUUCUACAUCUGCUAUUUGUGGUAUGUUUACAAGUUUCUACUUUUUAAUAUGUUUAUGCAUAUCUUGGCAAUUACAGUAUUUAUUUUUAAUCACAACUUUGAUAAUCUUUAGUUACAUCUUCUGCGGCUUCUAUGACUCGUAAGUUUAAAAACUAUUAUUUGCAAACAUUUACACACCUUUCUUAUCAAUUGCAAAUUUUU
rnacentral:lncRNA from 1 species